GCAUGUUCCAAGGGGGGUCCCGGUCCAGGGGCUGAGAUAGCGCUGGGGCAUCCUGCCCGCCGCGCUGACCCUUUGAACCUGAUCCGGGUCAUGCCGGCGAAGGGACAGGAACGGGCCGCCACG
rnacentral:ncRNA from 1 species